rnacentral:lncRNA from 1 species
ACCUACAACAGGCAGUAGAGAACUACUAACAGGAGGCGUUACAGAAACACCUGGGAAACGGGGCUGUUGACGGCUGAAAGGGAGGAGGGAUUAUUUUUUAGGCUGAAACUAAUGAGUUCUACACACUGAUGCUGCGAUGUUAACUUCCACUCCUUUCUCAUUCGCCGUCCUCCCCUUCUGCAGCUUUGAAGGACUGUGAAAUGCAGACCCAAGUACCCACUGCACAAAAGAAGGCUCUGACACAGGAACUCCUUCCCAGAAGGUUGAGGAAUGUCAUGUGGUUGCAGGAGGAAAUGCGCUAGACCUGGAGUCAGAGGAGGUGAAACCCAGAGGUGGUAAAAAUGCCCAGGUAUGUUUGAGGCAGCAGAGAAGACUGCCGGGAGAGUGGAGAAGGCUGAAGUCUUACUUAAGAAACUCAGCAUGUGGUCCUGUCCCACACGGUUUAGGCAGCAGCAAGCUGCUGUUGGACAGUGAAAUGAGUUAACACACACCAAGGUCAUAGCGAGGGGUGCACGACACACUAGGAAAUUCCAGUGCCGUAAUUCCAGAGGAGAGAAGUCCCACGCAGCCUCGGAGACCUGGAGAUGGGGCAGCUCCUCCUGACGUCCCAGUUCUCAGCAGGGCUGCCAGGACUCAGACACUUUCUUUCAACCACCAAAGGGUUUCCACAGAAAGGUGACUGCAACAAGUAGCCAGGGUGGAGGGCCCCUGCAGGAGCUCAUGACAUGGGGCGGGCAGCAUCAGAAGCACCGAGCGAGUCAGUGGACAGCCAAGCAUCACCCACUCAGUCACACCCUCGACCUGAGUCCAGCUGGUGUCCUCUGUGCCCGUCUUCCCAGGUGUCACAUGUGCUGACUCUUCCUCCUGAGAGACCCCAGAGGAGAGAGACCCCAGAAGAGAGAGACGCUGGAGGGGCUGUGGCUUGCGCUAAAAUGUGGAGAAAUGUACUAGACAGGGUUACUCUAGCACAAAAAGAAACUCACUUUCUUGUUGCAAAAGAGCGUCCCCUUUUUGUUUUUCAUUGUUAA